GAAGGUAUAGCUCAGUGAUAGAACACGUGCUUAGCAUGCACGAGGUCCUGGGUUUAAUCCCCACUACCUCCA
rfam:Camelus ferus unplaced genomic scaffold scaffold1907, whole genome shotgun sequence.